rnacentral:rRNA from 1 species
AUUGAACGCUGGCGGAAUGCUUUACACAUGCAAGUCGAACGGCAGCACGGGGCAACCUGGUGGCGAGUGGCGAACGGGUGAGUAAUACAUCGGAACGUGCCCAGUCGUGGGGGAUAACGUAGCGAAAGUUACGCUAAUACCGCAUACGAUCUAAGGAUGAAAGCGGGGGAGCGCAAGACCUCGCGCGAUUGGAGCGGCCGAUGUCAGAUUAGGUAGUUGGUGGGGUAAAGGCCCACCAAGCCGACGAACUGGAGCUGGUCUGAGAGGACGACCAGCCACACUGGGACUGAGACACGGCCCAGACUCCUACGGGAGGCAGCAGUGGGGAAUUUUGGACAAUGGGCGCAAGCCUGAUCCAGCCAUUCCGCGUGCAGGAUGAAGGCCUUCGGGUUGUAAACUGCUUUUGUACGGAGCGAAAAGGCUCUCUCUAAUACAGGGGGCUCAUGACGGUACCGUAAGAAUAAGCACCGGCUAACUACGUGCCAGCAGCCGCCGUAA